AUUGAACGCUGGCGGCAUGCCUUACACAUGCAAGUCGAACGGUAACGGGCCUUCGGGUGCCGACGAGUGGCGAACGGGUGAGUAAUGCAUCGGAACGUACCUUUCAGUGGGGGAUAACGUAGCGAAAGUUACGCUUAUACCGCAUAUUCUGUGAGCAGGAAAGCAGGGGAUCGCAAGACCUUGCGCUGAUUGAGCGGCCGAUGUCAGAUUAGCUAGUUGGUGAGGUAAGGGCUCACCAAGGCGACGAUCUGUAGCGGGUCUGAGAGGAUGAUCCGCCACACUGGAACUGAGACACGGUCCAGACUCCUACGGGAGGCAGCAGUGGGGAAUUUUGGACAAUGGGGGCAACCCUGAUCCAGCCAUGCCGCGUGAGUGAAGAAGGCCUUCGGGUUGUAAAGCUCUUUCGGUCGGGAAGAAAUCGCAUGGGUUAAUACCCUGUGCGGAUGACGGUACCGGCAUAAGAAGCACCGGCUAACUACGUGCCAGCCGCCGCCGUAAAAC
rnacentral:rRNA from 1 species